AUUGAACGCUGGCGGCAGGCCUAACACAUGCAAGUCGAACGGCAGCACAGUGAUUGCUUGUGGUUACAGCGGCGGACGGGCGAGCGAGGCAUGAGUAUAUCCCAGGCUGCUUUUUCGAAGGUCCGAACGUAGGCGCUCAUACGGUAUUACUGCAGAGGGAGUACGGGGGAGAGCAUUGGACCUUCGGACCUUGGGCGAUUCAAGGAGGCGAUGUCGGAUUGGCUAGUUGGAGGGGUAAAGGCCCACCAAGGCGACGAUCCGUAGCUGGUCUGAGAGGAUGAUCAGUCACACUGGAACUGAGACACGGUCCAGACUCCUACGGGAGGCAGCAGUGGGGAAUAUUGGACAAUGGGCGCAAGCCUGAUCCAGCCAUGCCGCGUGGGUGAAGAAGGUCUUCGGAUUGUAAAGCACUUUUGUUGGGAAAGAAAAGCAGUAGGUUAAUACCUCGCUGUUUUGACGGUACCAAAAGAAUAAGCACCGGCUAACUUCGUG
rnacentral:rRNA from 1 species